rnacentral:rRNA from 1 species
UACAGAGGGUGCAAGCGUUAAUCGGAAUUACUGGGCGUAAAGCGUGCGUAGACGGUUAUUUAAGUCAGGUGUGAAAGCCCCGGGCUCAACCUGGGAAUUGCAUUUGAGACUGAAUAGCUAGGGUGCGGAAGAGGGAAGCGGAAUUUCCGGUGUAGCGGUGAAAUGCGUAGAUAUUCGGAGGAACACCAGUGGCGAAGGCGGCUCACUGGUCCAUUACUGACGCUGAGGUGCGAAAGCGUGGGGAGCAAACAGG